CCUUUACUAUAGCUUCGCAGUGGCAAUAUGACUGUAACGUGUAGCAUAGGUGGGAGGCUUUGAAGCCGGGACGCUAGUUCUGGUGGAGCCGAAAUGUGAAAUACCACCCUUUGCUUUUGUGUUGUCUAACCAUGUCCCGUUAUCCGGGACUGGGACCCUGCGUGGUGGGUAGUUUGACUGGGGCGGUCGCCUCCUAAAGUGUAACGGAGGCGCGCGAUGGUUGGCUCAGGACGGUCGGAAAUCGUCCAUCGAGUGCAAUGGCAUAAGCCAGCCUUACUGCGAGACUGACAAGUCGAGCAGUUGCGAAAGCAGGUCAUAGUGAUCCGGUGGUCCCGCAUGGAAGGGCCAUCGCUCAACGGAUAAAAGGUA
rnacentral:rRNA from 1 species